rnacentral:lncRNA from 1 species
AAUUAAUUAUGUAUGGGGCAAAGGUUUGAUUAACCCUUUUUAUUAGGUCACGGUCCGGUUUUUAGUCUUGUCUGGUCGAGUUCGAUCUGAAGCAGUUUAGCAAGAAUUAAAUUUAAAUAACAUUGGGUCGAGAACAAGUUCAAGCAAAUCAACGAUCAUGACCCAUCUCAAAUCCAAAGCCAAUUCCCAACCAAUUUCGUACCUACCUUCGUGUAAAAUUCAUAAUUUUAAAAUU